rnacentral:misc_RNA from 1 species
CAUCCUGGCUCUAGCAUCAAUGUAGUCUCUUGUAAAUGCUAAGAAAAACAACAAUAAUUAAUUAGUCACAAAACAACAACGUUCUUUAAAUUAUUGCAGUGAACUCGCUAUAUGAUUUUCGUUAUUUUCCCGUCAUUAAAUUUAAUGAAGGAAAAGUUAUUCGGUAAAUUUAAUAUGCAGAACUAUACUCUUUUACAGUAAGCCUAACGACAAGCGAGAAAAGCAAGACGUUGGAACGAGUUACUCUCUCUCUCUCUUUGUCGUCUGCUACAUCGUGAGGUUUUGCGAUAUUUGUUUGUGUAAGUAACAGAAAAGCUUAGUAGAAACCAAACAAGCUCGAGAUGGCUUUCAGAUGGGACCAUAGACCUAGCUCUCAUAAUACUCAUGCCAACUGUUGGAAAGAAAAACGGCCCGAACCUAGUAGUAUGUCACCAGAUAUUUUAUACAAAAUGUCGAAAAAAAUAGCACAGCUAACAAAGGUUAUUUACACUUUGAAUACCCGGCUGGAUGACCAAGAUGUUUUGAUUCAGUCUCUUAAAGAAGCCCAUGAGGAACGAAUACAACAACUGAUGACAGAAACUCGAUACAGGAUCUCUUACUACAAAGCAAAGGCAAAUCAUGAAGGAGAACUUCGAGGUAAAGUUAAGGAGUUGGAAACUCUUCUAAAAGAAGAAAAGUGCAAGAAAGCUGAUGUAGAAGAACAACUCCACCUACUAGAGGAGAAACAAUUGGCAAGAGAACAAGAGGAGGGUGAAACUUCUCAGAAACUUGCUCGAUUAUCUCAGGAAUUUGAAGAUGCUAAAAACGAUCUGCAGGUUAAACUGAAAGAAUAUGAGAUUCUUCAUCAGGAACUCUUACGUGAAAAAGACUCUUCUCUUGGAAUGUUACAUAACCAGUAUGAAAAGGAUAUGCAGAACAUUGUCCAUGACCAAAAUAAACACUUUGAAUCGGUAAACAACAAUAUUGUAAGCGAAUUAGAUAAAGCCUACGAAAAUAUUAAAGACUUGAAAGAUCAGUGUGAACAACUGAAAUUUGAAAAUGUUCAAAUAAAACAAGAUUUUGAGCUAGAACUUACAAAACAGCUCGAUGAUUUACAGUCUGAAAAGGAAGAACUUAAAUGUUAUUUUGAAUCAAAUAUAAAAAAAUUAAAAUCAUACUAUCAAGAGGAAUUAGGAAAAUUAAGCAAGGAAGAAAAUCUAAUUAAAACUCAGUCUUUUGUUAAGUGGGAGCAGGAAACCUUGGACAAACAAAAACAACUUGAAUCAGGAAUUGAUGAAUUGCUACAUAAGCUAGAAGAAAAUGAAAAACAAACAGAAAAUUAUAUUGCUGAAAACAAUCAAUUGAAAGAAAAAAUUGAAAGCAAAGUAAAACACAUUAAACUUCUGGAGGAUCAGAUGACAAAAAGCAAAGAGGAGCUACUGAAACUUACACCUCGACUAAAACACUCAGAAGCAGCAUUAAAUCAACUGAAAAAUUCCUGCACAACACACACACAGGACUUGUUGGCCAAAACACAUCACAUCUCUUUGCUGGAAGCAACUAAACUGGAACAUGAGACUACCAUUCUCAAUCUUAAAGAGGAUAUUGCAUUGCUAAAAGAAAAGUUUCAGAAACUGGAAAAAUUAAAGUCAGAGUGUGAAACAUCUGCCAAACAGAAAGAAGCAGAAUUACUUAGAAAUAUGUCAAACUUGAAAAAGGAUCUGGGAGAGUUACAAGAGUCUAAGAGCAGGCUUCAAGAACAGUUUGAACAACAAAGCAUUGCUCUUAAAUGCCAAAAUUCAGAAAGGGACGAAGCAGUACAAGAUACCUAUGAAAAACAACUCCAAGAACUGAGAGAACAGCACAGGAGUCAGAUUGUGACCGUAAAUGAUCAAUGGGAACACAAAAUGAAGAACAAAACAGAAGAAUUUGAUAAUCAACUUGAAGACAAAAGACAAAAACUAGAAUCACAGCAGCAGGAAUAUGAAACCAGUAUUGCUAGUCUGGAAAAACAGUUAAAGGAUAAGUCUCAACAAGAGAGUGAAAAGAUCACCAGUUUACAUAUGGCUUUAGAUGAGAAAAAUAAGAAUUUGAAUAGUGCUCAAAAACUGGUCACAUCAUUGUCUCUACAGGUGACCCAGUUGGAGGAAGACCUUGCAACAACCAAAAGUGAGCUAAAAGAAAUGAAAGAGAACCUUCAUAAGACUCAGGAAGAGCUUAUUUGUAAACAGAAGCUUUGGGAUGAAGAGAAGGACACAAUUCAAGAAGAAUAUAUCCAACAACAGAAACAGCUGACCAGUUCACUGAAUACAAGCUGGCAGGAAAAAAUGAGAAAAGAAUUAGAUCAAAUGAAAGAAGAAAUUACAUCUCAAGGGACAGCAGCUCUCGAAGAAGCCAAUACCAGAAAAACAAUGGAAUUUGAAGCAUCCAAGAGAGGAUGGCAGAGCAAGAUUACUGAGUUGAUGGAACAGAUGACUCGGCUACGAAAGAUGUCUGAAGAAACUGAAGAAAAACACUUGAAAGAAGUAUACGAGAUCAAAACUGAAGCUCAAAGUGAAUGCUCUAAGCUACAGAAGGCACUUAAGGAGUUAGAAGAAGACUAUAAGGAACGUAUAAUCACUCUAGAGUGUUCAUACUCUGAUAGAUUACAAACUAAGCUUCAGGAAAAGGAAUCAUUUGAUAGGGAAGAAAAGAAACAGCUAGAGACACGCCAUCAAAAAGAACUAGAAGCCCAAGGAGAAGCUCAUAGGAUUGAGAUAGAACAAGUGAAAUUAGAAUCAGAACACUUUUGGAAUGAAGAGAGAGAAAGACUCCAGAAGAAACAUGCUAUUCAUAUUGGUUUGAUACGUGAAGAACUACAAGUUGAAAAGAAACAAGCACUUGAUAAACAGGCCCAAACUCACAGAGCUGAAGUCAGGAGAGCAAGAAUGGAGUUAGAUGCAUGUUUAAGAGAAGUUCACCAGAAAGAAGAAACUUCUGCUCUGAAAGAAAGACACUUGAAUAGAGAACAAGAGGAACAAAGGAGUCAAAUCAGCCAGCUGAAGACAGAAAUCAAUUCCCUGCAAGAUAGAUUAGAACUUAAGAAUAGAGAGCUGGAACAGAAACAGGAAGAAAUUACCAGAGUUCGGAAUGAAACUGGUCAUCAGCUGAGAAAUGUUGAAAACUACUGGCAGGAAAGAUUUGUACAAGAACUCGGGAAGACAGCUAUGGAGUAUGAGCAGCAUCAAAAAACUAUGUUAACAGACUUUAACAAGGCUCAGAGACUUUUGAAGGAUAAGAUUCGUCUCCUACAGAAAAUGAAGCAGAACAAAGAUAUGCUGCUCGUAAUUCUCGGCCUGAAGAUUUAGAAGUAAUUCGUCAAUUACAGAAGAGCCUUACAGACAAGGAGGCCUCAAUGUCCAAACUUCAGGAAGAAAAAAAGAAUCUUCGAUUAGAACUGCUUAAUAGAGAGACAAACUUCAAUCGUAUGUUUUCCAGUCAACCUGUUGUUGGAGUUCUUGAU